rnacentral:lncRNA from 1 species
AUAUAACUAUAAAUUAUAUUUUUAAAAAAAUUAUAUAAUUAAAAAAUAUAUAUAUAAGCUAUUAAUAGAAUAAUAGUUAUAUAUAUACUUAGGGAGUGUUUGGAUUGGGGAUAAGGGGAGCGAUAACCCCUUAUCCCCCUUUUAUACCCAAAUGCAAAUUUUUUAUCCGAAAAUACUAGUUCUAUGGUCCCUGAAAUAAGUUGGUAUAACUAUUCCCACCAACACCUCCAUUUUCUAUAUAUAACUACUACUCACUAUUUUUCUUAUUCUAAAUUAUCUAUUUAAACGCUAUUUUUUUUAUCAUCAGAAACAACCCAAUUUUCAUCCAAAUGCUAUUUUGCUUAUCCCCAUACUUGUACCUAUCUCUGUAAUAGCUAAUUCUUGCUUAUAUCCGAACCAAACGGCAUCUUAUUAUUUUGUGGCUUGCAGUCGAGAUUUGUCUUUGUAAGUUGCAAUACUUUUAUAUAUAUAGAUUUUCUGAAAAAAGGGUCAUUAAAAAAACUAAAUUUAU